rnacentral:rRNA from 1 species
AGCGAACGCUGGCGGCAGGCCUAACACAUGCAAGUCGAACGAACUCUCCGGAGUUAGUGGCGGACGGGUGAGUAACACGUGGGAAGGUGCCUUUUUGUUCGGAAUAACUCAGGGAAACUUGUGCUAACACCGAAUGUGCUCUUCGGGGGAAAGAUUUAUCGCCAUUGGAGAGGCACGCGUCUGAUUAGCUUGUUGGUGAGGUAACGGCUCACCAAGGCGACGAUCAGUAGCUGGUCUGAGAGGAUGACCAGCCACACUGGGACUGAGACACGGCCCAGACUCCUACGGGAUGCAGCAGUGGGGAAUCUAGCGCAAUGGGCGAAAGCCUGACGCAGCCAUGCCGCGUGAAUGAUGAAGGUCUUAGGAUAGUAAAAUUCUUUCACCGGGGACGAUAAUGACGGUACCCGGAGAAGAAGCCCCGGCUAACUUCGUG